GUGUGCCUGUAUGUUUGUGCAUGUACAUUGAAUCAUCUUCCUAUGGACUUUAUUACAGGGAAACGGAGAAAAAUAUCUAUGAUUUGAGUUACUGCUAUACAGGAGUCAUUGGAUUGACUAUAUACUACAUAGUGGCCUCCUUCAUCUCUGUCCUGACAGGUCCCCUAAGUCCCUCUGCCGUCGACGCUCAACUGAUUCAACCCAGGUGUUUGGAACUUUACAAGCGCCUCUGGGGUUUCUUCAAAGAUUCUUCUUCCGAAGAAAAUGGAAGUGUCCAAAGCAAUAACUUCGGCUUCAUUGAAACGAAGGUCGAAAUUGGACUCCAAACAGCUCCUAGCAUCUCUAAAUAACAUUCUUCAACAUCUCAAAUAGAAAAAGAUACUUUAUUUGUAAGGGUAUGUUUAUGUAUUAAGACAUAUAUCCAGCGAAUGUCAUUGAAAAUAAAUCAUUUGGAAUAGUCA